rnacentral:tRNA from 1 species
GCCGGGGUGGUGUAGUUGGUAGCACGCCAGUCUCAUAAGCUGGAGGUCGUGGGUUCAAGUCCCUCUCCCGGCACCA